rnacentral:lncRNA from 1 species
UGUGUGUGUGUGUGUGUGUGUGUGUGUGUGUGUGUGUGUGUGUGUGUGUGUGUGUGUGUGUGUGUGUAUUAAAGGGUCUGUCUAGCUCAGUAGUCUGCAUAUUAGAUGCAGUAGUUGGAGCACCUCUCCAAUCUCUGAUUGUUCUAGGUGUCUUUUUGCCAGAGGUUACCUCAGCACAUGUAGGCUGAUGAUCUGAAUGAUACAUGGUGUGGACUGCAUCAUGUGGUGUACUUCUCUGAAGGACAGUGUUCUGUCCGACCCUGGAGUAGUGGUCAGAGCUGUGUUGUGAUGGGGUCUAGUAGUGCUGUGUUGUGAUGGGCCAGGUCUAGUAGAGCUGUGUUGUGAUGGGGUCUAGUAGAGCUGUGUUGUGAUGGGCCAGGUCUAGUAGAGCUGUGUUGUGAUGGGGUCCAGUAGAGCUGUGUUGUGAUGGGCCAGGUCUAGUAGAGCUGUGUUGUGAUGGGGUCUAGUAGAGCUGUGUUGUGAUGGGCCAGGUCUAGUAGAGCUGUGUUGUGAUGGGCCAGUAGAGCUGUGUUGUGAUGGGCCAGGUCUAGUAGAGCUGUGUUGUGAUGGGCCUGGUCUAGUAGAGCUGUGUUGUGAUGGGCCGUGUCUGGCUCUUCUCUCCUGGGGACGGUGAAUGUACUGUUGUUUCAGAAUGUGGGGCGGGGAGACCUCUGUUGCUGGGGUGAUGGGUGUGUGGGUCUCCUGCCAAGUGUUGCAUCUUUUAGGUCCUUGGCAAAGGUUCUGAUACUGUCCUGAUCCAGAUGUACUUUAUCGUAUAAGUGUUGACAUGUCAGAGUGGGGUGGUGAGCCGUUCUGACGUUGAGCAGUGAGGCACAGUCCACAGUGAUCUGUUGAUUUAUAUUGUUGAUCAACUGUCCUGGGAAGUCUUUUCUUGGUAGGAGGGUUGGACACAACUAUAUUGGUUGUUGGGAACCGAGCCUGUGCCCGUUCUGCCACUCUUCUCACUGCCCCAGUGUCACGUCCUGACCAGCAGAGGGAGCAAUUGUAUUAGUUUUGGUCAGGACGUGGCAGGGUUUUUGUGUGUGCUAAGUGUUGUGUUGGUGAUUGGACUCCCAAUUGAAGGCAGGUGUGUUGAGUUGCCUUUGAUUGGGAGUCCUAUAUAGUAGUGUGUGUUUUUCUUUGGGGUUGUGGGUAGUUGUUUUUUGCACUGCGUUUGAUAGCCUGCAAAACUGUUCUUGUCGUGAGUAUCAUUUAUUGUUUUUUCACUGUGGAUGCUCUGCGUAUUUUUUCAUUAAAGAAUAUGAGUAUCCACAUACCCGCUGCGCCUUGGUCCAUUCCUGAAGACAACUGUUACACCCAGAUACAUUUUCACCUUUGGCAUGAAGGUGGUUUGUUCCAGUGUGGAUGAUGAUGUUGUCGGGGGGGAGUGUCAAUCCUGGUCUGACUGAGUAGCUGCAUUGCGCUGUCAAUUGUAGGACACCAGAACUUAUACACCUGGUGUCUAGGGAAUCAUCUGUCCUGGACUAAGAACUUCCCAUUUGAAUCAAUAAGGAUUGCAGUUGUGGGUGAUUGUCUGG